ACGCGCCAUUUGCAGUUUGCCAAAAUAAAUUUAAUAAUAAAUAAUGACAAAACAUUGUGUAUUUUGCAUUAUGAAUUGGAUUUGAGAUCAUUUUGAUUGAGCAGAAACAAUCACAGUUUAUUACCGAAUACUUGGCUAUGGCGGAAAAUGAAGAACUUCGAUCAAGUUUCGGAUGUCCUACUAUUUUCGUCACGUUUGGAAGGAAAAAAAGAAAAAUCGUCAGCACAUUCUGGUCAUCAUAUUAUGGAAAUAUUUGUGACUGAAUCCCAUCUGAAUGUUGGAUGACAUAUAUCAAGAUGACACUGAACAGGACAACUGAGGAAAAUGGAUGUGAAAUAAUCCAAUCUAACAGUUGGAAAUAAAUAUAUAUAGUAUUUA